UGCAUCGAUGAAGAACGCAGCGAAAUGCGAUACGUAGUGUGAAUUGCAGAAUUCCGCGAAUCAUCGAGUCUUUGAACGCAAGUUGCGCCCGAGGCUUGUCCGAGGGCAUUUCCGCUAGAGCGUCACCGCGCCCCCCACCGAUCCGCACUCCCGCCGCGAGGCGCUGGUGUAGGCUAAGGGUCGAGUGGAAGUGGCCGUCCCGGCGCGAGGAGGCUAAGGGUCGGCUGAAAUGGAUGGAAUUGGGCCGCCGUGGUGACACAGUCCGCGAUCGGGUGAUUUUGUCGCGAGCCUCCCGCCUGCGGGAGGUUCGCCGUGAAUUUUUCUAAGUGCUUGGCUGCGUCCCCCAGUUGGCUUUGGUUACCUCGAGCAGGUCGAGCGCGCCCCCGCGGCGCGCGUCCCGCAUCAGACCUCUAAUCGGAAAAG
rnacentral:rRNA from 1 species